rnacentral:rRNA from 1 species
CCCAGACUCCUACGGGAGGCAGCAGUGGGGAAUAUUGCACAAUGGGGGAAACCCUGAUGCAGCGACGCCGCGUGAGUGAAGAAGUAUUUCGGUAUGUAAAGCUCUAUCAGCAGGGAAGAAAAUGACGGUACCUGAUUAAGAAGCCCCGGCUAACUACGUGCCAGCAGCCGCGGUAAUACGUAGGGGGCAAGCGUUAUCCGGAUUUACUGGGUGUAAAGGGUGCGCAGGUGGCAGGGCAAGUCAGAUGUGAAAGCCCGGGGCUCAACCCCGGUAUUGCAUUUGAAACUGUCCGGUUAGAGUGCAGGAGAGGCAAGCGGAAUUCCUAGUGUAGCGGUGAAAUGCGUAGAUAUUAGGAGGAACACCAGUGGCGAAGGCGGCUUACUGGACUGUAACUGACGUUGAGGCUCGAAAGCGUGGGGAGCAAACAGGAUUAGAUACCCUUGUA